CCCAGACUCCUACGGGAGGCAGCAGUGGGGGAUAUUGCACAAUGGGGGAAACCCUGAUGCAGCGACGCCGCGUGGGCGAAGAAGUAUUUCGGUAUGUAAAGCUCUGUCAGCAGGGAAGAAGAAUGACGGUACCUGAAGAAGAAGCACCGGCUAAAUACGUGCCAGCAGCCGCGGUAAUACGUAUGGUGCAAGCGUUAUCCGGAUUUACUGGGUGUAAAGGGAGCGCAGGCGGUUCUGCAAGUCUGAUGUGAAAGCCCGGGGCUCAACCGCGGGACUGCAUUGGAAACUGCGGGACUGGAGUGUCGGAGGGGUAAGCGGAAUUCCUGGUGUAGCGGUGAAAUGCGUAGAUAUCAGGAGGAACACCGGUGGCGAAGGCGGCUUACUGGACGAUGACUGACGCUGAGGCUCGAAAGCGUGGGGAGCAAACAGGAUUAGAUACCCGAGUA
rnacentral:rRNA from 1 species